rnacentral:misc_RNA from 1 species
AAGAUAAAAAAAUGAAGACAAAAAAUGAAGACAAAAAAGAGGGAGCUUUGAACCAAAUCAUACAUUUGCUGCUGCCAAACCAAUAAAAAACAGUAGCAUUAAUGGCAUUUUUAGUGGAACUCAUAUAACCAAUAUAAACCUUCCAUUAUCCAGUAACAUAUCCACUUUAUACUUUUGUUUCAAUUUGUCAUAUUUAAGUGUGUCUAAGUAGUGUUUAUAGUUAGGUUAGUAG